rnacentral:lncRNA from 1 species
UUUUUUUGGCUAAGCUAGAUUGCCAUACAAGUUCCCUUCUUCACUAAGCAAGCUUACCCUAGAAGCUAGUUUCACUAUUAAGAAAACUUGUCAUGCAAGUUUGCUUCACUACUAAGGAAACUUAUGAUGCAAGUUCCUUCCACUCCAAGGUUUCUUGUAGAUAAGCUUCGAGAGAUGAAAUAACUUGGUGACCAAGGAGUGCAGCAAACUUGUGAGGCAAGAUUUCUUAUGUGCUAAGAAAUGGAUGGCUAUAUAUAGUCUCCUUUUGGAAAAGUUUGAUCUUGUGCAAGCAUCCACCAAAGAUUAGUAGAAAGAGCUCCCAAGUUUAUCUCCCUUCAUCUUGUGUUCCUUGUUUUAUUGUCAUCACAAACCGAGAGCAGCAACUUAAAAACUCCCAUGACAUAUGUAGGAAGUGCUUGGGAAACUGAUUCGAUUAAAACUUCUCUCCCUGCUUGAGACAAAAGUACAUCCCCUCAUUGGAUUAACCUCUUAGUCAUACUCAUCUGUAGGUUCUGGAAUCGCCCUUUAGACAUUCGCCCCUCAGGAGUAGGCAGACCCAAAUACUUCUCCUCGAAAAUUAAGCUCGUAACACCUAACACAUCCCUGACUUGCUCCUGUAUAAUAGCCGGACAAAAGUCUCCAAAGAAAAUUGAUCACUUGUCAAAGUUUAAACUUUGACCCAUAGCCGCACCAUACCUUUCUAGAGCUAACUUGAUUCUUUCCACUUUUACUUGGGAUGCUUCAAAAACAAGAGUUUAUCAUCGGCAGACAACAAUGUGAUAUACCUGGCGCCCUUCUACACACCUUUAGAGAGUGAUAUUCCAGGUCAUAAAAUCAUGUUAUAGAAUAGCAGAGAGACCAUCCGCCAUGAAAAGAACAAAAACAGUGAAAGGGGAUCACCCUGUCGAUGAUACUUGACAUAAUCCAAUCCACCCAUCAUCGAGAGACCCCAUCUUUUUGCAUCACCUACUUCAAGAAGUCCCAAUCCACCCUAUCUUAUGCUUUAGAUAGGUCUAACUUAUAUGCACAAAAAUUCUUUGUAGGAUCUUUCUGCUGUUUGAUAUAGUGGAUGCACUCAAAGGCCAUCAAGGCAUUGUCCGUGAUCAAUCUACCCCGGCACAACGCACUCUGUUCAGGUGUGGUUAUAUCCUCAAGCAAUGGCCUUAGUCGUUUGACCAAACAUUUAGAAAUCACCUUAUAAGUCACAUUACAAAGGCUUAUAGGUCUGUAAUCUUUAAGACUUUUUGGAUCUGAUAUUUUAGGAAUCAACACAAUUAGUGCAUCAUUAGCACCCGAUGGCAUUAUACCGGAUCUGAAAAAUUCCUUCACUGCAGCCAAUACACUUUCUUGUACUGUACUCCAAUUGCGUUGAAAGAACCUAGCCGGAAAACCAUCUGGCCCUGGGGCCUUAAGAGGCCUAAUCUGAAAUAUUGCAUCUCCAAUUUCCUUUUCCGAGAAAGGCUCACACAUCCUAGCAUUAUCUGCUGCUGAAAUCUUUGGUUCUAUAGGAUUUGCCGGUUAUACCUCGCUCCAUGCUAGUUCGAUAGUAUGUAUCCUCGCGUGACCAAUAUUCCUGAUGUAUAUUAAUGCGAGGAUACAUUUGUAGUUAUGGUCAUGUGACCAAUAUUCCUGAUGUAUAUAAAAGAAAUAUAAUAGAAUAUAAAAAAUAUACUAGUAUAUAUAUAAAACAUUCCUGAUGUAUAUUAAAAAGUAUAAUAGUUAUGGAAAAGAGUAGACAUAAAAAAUAUGUUUAAAAAAUGUUAAUCAUCUGUUUAUAAACUUUUAAAUGUGUAAAAAAAUGUUCUUUUGCUGCUUGAUGACCACUUCAACAUAUCUCUUCCGUACCUACAAAUGUCAUUUCUAGUAUUGUUAUUUUAUCAUCAAACUUUGAACUAUCUGCUUCAAGUCAGAGCUAUGCAAGGAGGACAAAAACAAUAUGAACUUAGGCAUACCGUAAGAGGGAAUUACUCGGCGGCUAUGAAGCUGUGAAAUUGUCAAACGGGCAAUCUAUUUUGUUGAUGUUGUGGAUUGACCCCACAUCCAUUGAACAUGAUACAUUGAUGAUAUGAAAUGGCUUACAAUUAAUACCAAGAUUGGCUAAUUCUCUGUAUAGUAACUGAACUGAAUUACAUAGUUGCCUGCCUGCUGAAAUAUGGAAGAGAUGUAUAAUGGUAGUGUUAGCGGAUAGUUGCAGUGCAGUUUUUUUCUUUUCAAGAUGACAUGCAUAGUAGUUUGAAGUUUAGACAACUACUCCCUCCGUUCCUAAAUAUUUGUCUGUCUAGAGAUUUCAACAAGUGACUACAUACGGAGCAAAAUGAGUGAAUCUACACACUAAAAUGUGUCUAUAUACAUCCGUAUGUGGUAGUCCAUUUGAAAUCUCUAAAAAGACCAAUAUUUACGAACAGAGGGAGUAUAUAUGAAUAACUAGCUUGACCAAACUAAAAAUGUCAAAUAGGUACCAUUACUGGUACUUGGAAGAUUAAAAGCUAGUUAUAUUUCUUCCGUUUGAUAUUGUUGUCUCUGGUGAUCUUGCUAAUAAUAUUAAAUUGUUAAUAAUGACUAGGUUUUGUAUCUUCAUGUUCCCUUGGUACAAAUUUCUGAAUGGAUCAAAUAAUAUCCUUUGUACUGAAAUUUCUUUUGUGAUAAAUAAAAGUUCGAUGGACCAUAUGUUUGCAUCCUUAUCAUCUUCUUUCAUACAUUCACACUUCCUCUAGUUUUUUUAAUAUAUUAUAAAUAUAUCUGUAUAGGCAACAACUGUUCAUGAAAAAAAUGCCUAAUGUGCUAUAUAUGCAGCUUGAGUGAAGAUCUAAAAAGAUCAGUUGCCAUAUCUGCUAGCAAACUGAUUAUUACUGUUUGAAGUACAACAAAGGAAAUUCAGCAUUUUCUACUAGCAUUAUUAUUCAUUUAUCCCCUGAAAUUGGCUUGGUGAUUGUAAAUUUAGUAUAACUGAGUCUACCUAAAUAAAUCUUGAGUAGAGAAACGCCUAAUAAGCUAUGUCUGCAACAUGACUUUGAAUAAAACUGAAACUUGAACAGCUGAUAGAUCAGUAAGCCUUUUUCCCCACUGGCACUAGUGAACAUCUGUGGAUGAACAAUGUCGAGCAUGAUUGGUUGGUAGCCAAAAAUUGGCUAGCCAAUAUUUUGGCAUGCCAAAAUAUUGCAACUCCCAAGAUUUGCCAAUCUUUGGCAAAUUUUGAGAGAUGGUCAGAGUAAGUUGGUGGCUAACUUUCUGUCUUGCCAAAAUGUUGUCUAGCAAAUUUUUGGUAAUCAACCAAUCAUGCUCUAGGCGAAUCAAAUUUCGGUUGCGCCCUUGGUUGGCCUAUGUUUGGGUUGAUUAUAAUUGGCUAGUGUUUUCUCUCUCCUUCUUUUUUGCUAUAGUUCGAUUAGCAUGAUUAUUAGCUCAUUCAAGUUGUACUAUUUUCACGACACACUCCUAGUUGUAUAUACCAACAAAGCUGUUUGAUCUUUGAUGUAUACAAGUAUUUCGGCCCCCUCUGUUCUCUGUGUCUAGGUGUAUAUACCCACAAAGCCGGUAACAUAUGUUUGGUUACCUCCUUGUUCACUAAAUUACUCGCUGCCUGUUUGUUGGAGCUGGAAGUGAAAACCUUAGUUUUAUAUUUUGCACCUAGUAUGAAAGCUUAUGUAGUUGUAUCUCAGAAAUAUUUUGUGUUGAUGAUUUCACAUAUGUAAUCAUGCCUCGGUUACAUGGUUCUAAUCAUCUUUCACCUUACCACACCUUUUCAGGUCGGCGGCAUGAUGCUUCGGGUGCGAUAACCACUUCGUAUCUGGUGAAAUCUCAUUUGGUCGCGUUACUACAUAAAUAUGGUUGCCAGACAUAUUGUUGUGCCUAUGGAAGUGAUGGACGUAUUACACGAACAUGUGUGUUCUUAUGAC